CAGCCGCCGCGGGAAAACGUAGGUGGCAAGCGUUGUCCGGAAUUAUUGGGCGUAAAGGGCUCGCAGGCGGUUUCUUAAGUCUGAUGUGAAAGCCCCCGGCUCAACCGGGGAGGGUCAUUGGAAACUGGGAAACUUGAGUGCAGAAGAGGAGAGUGGAAUUCCACGUGUAGCGGUGAAAUGCGUAGAGAUGUGGAGGAACACCAGUGGCGAAGGCGACUCUCUGGUCUGUAACUGACGCUGAGAGACGAAAGCUAGGGGAGCAAAUGGGAUUAGAUACCCCAGUAGUCCCUGUCUCUUAUAC
rnacentral:rRNA from 1 species